rnacentral:rRNA from 1 species
AGGUCCCGAGCGUUGUCCGGAUUUAUUGGGCGUAAAGCGAGCGCAGGUGGUUUAUUAAGUCUGGUGUAAAAGGCAGUGGCUCAACCAUUGUAUGCAUUGGAAACUGGUAGACUUGAGUGCAGGAGAGGAGAGUGGAAUUCCAUGUGUAGCGGUGAAAUGCGUAGAUAUAUGGCGGAACACCGGUGGCGAAAGCGGCUCUCUGGCCUGUAACUGACACUGAGGCUCGAAAGCGUGGGGAGCAA